rnacentral:rRNA from 1 species
AGAGUUUGAUCCUGGCUCAGAUUGAACGCUGGCGGUAUGCUUAACACAUGCAAGUCGAACGGUAACAGCAGAGCUUGCUCUGGCUGACAAGUGGCGGACGGGUGCGUAACGCGUGGGAAUCUACCUUGUAGUGGGGGAUAGCCCGGAGAAAUCCGGAUUAAUACCGCAUAAUCUCUACGGAGCAAAGUGGGGGAUCUUCGGACCUCACGCUAUUAGAUGAGCCCGCGUUAGAUUAGCUUGUUGGUGAGGUAAUGGCUCACCAAGGCGACGAUCUAUAGCUGGUUUGAGAGGAUGAUCAGCCACACUGGGACUGAGACACGGCCCAGACUCCUACGGGAGGCAGCAGUGGGGAAUAUUGGACAAUGGGCGCAAGCCUGAUCCAGCAAUACCGCGUGUGUGAAGAAGGCCUGAGGGUUGUAAAGCACUUUCAAUAGAGACGAAAAGCUCAGGGUUAAUAACUCUGGGUCUUGACUUAACCUAUAGAAGAAGCACCGCUAACU